GUGGGAAAAAUCAGUGUACAAGUGAGGAAUCGCUUCUUAUUGUGGUUUAUAAGAAAUGCGAGUUUUGCAUUAAUUUAUUUAAUUUUAUAAAAUGUUGUGUACAAAUGUGUUGUGUACUUGCUACACUAAUAAUUGGGAAGUCGAGACGAGUAAGUUAGGGAGGCCAUCCCAGAGAUUACCGGAGGAGGAGGAGGAGGAGGAGGAGGAGGACAGCCACUGCCGCCCGUGUUUGGAAAGAGGAAAGCAGGCAAACUCUAAGAGGAGCUAUCAGUUGUCCCCCGUCAUUCCCCAAUCGCUUUUGGGGCUUUAGUCUUUGCAGAUUCCUUCCCUUUUUAAGUCACAUUUAUCACCAACUCCAGUACUUCAGGAGCAAUGUCAACAGCAGAAACAUGUCUGUUUUUGAAGACAAUCAAGUUCCUAGCUCUCCACAACUGAUUUAUAACAGCAGCAAACACCACUCUCCUUAUGGAUGGAGUAAAAGAGGUAAAGAUUAAAGAAAGAAGCCCCCAGCUGAUUCAUGGCUUUGUUUAUUUGCAGAAUAAAUCAGUUCUUGGAGAAAUGGGAGGAGGUGGCAGGAUUAGGUUAUGAUGUUUUAUUUGUUCGUCCUGUUAAAACAUAUUUGUCUUGAUGAUCAGUCUAAUUGCUUUUUAAUUGGCAUUUUGAUUUUGGUAAGAGAUGAAAGGUAAUGAUCAUCGAGAGCUAGGUCUGACUGCAGCAAGCAAAUGUGUUUCAAUUUUGUUGUUAUUAUGUUCUUAUUCCCCAAGACUGUCUUAGUGGUCAAACAUUAUAGUAGGAGGAGGAAUGCCCACUUUUUAUCUUCCGAUUGCUACUAAUGGCUGAUGGUAAGUUGGUAACUGAAACCUACUUUGAUGGUGAGCGACAGGCCCCUGUUAGUAGCUAACUACUACUAUUUUUUAUCUCAUAACACUCCCUAAUAUGAUGCUGAAUUUCCCGUA